rnacentral:rRNA from 1 species
UACGUAGGGGGCAAGCGUUGUCCGGAUUUAUUGGGCGUAAAGCGCGUGUAGGCGGCCAUGCAGGUCCGUUGUGAAAACUCGAGGCUCAACCUCGAGACGUCGAUGGAAACCGCAUGGCUAGAGUCCGGAAGAGGAGAGUGGAAUUCCUGGUGUAGCGGUGAAAUGCGCAGAUAUCAGGAAGAACACCCGUGGCGAAGGCGGCUCUCUGGGACGGUACUGACGCUGAGACGCGAAAGCGUGGGGAGCGAACAGG